UUUGAAUUUCCCUAUUCUCUCUUCCCACACUUUUCACUUCUUUCCCCAAUUAUCUCUCUCUCCUCAAACCCUAACACCUUCUUCACCCCCUUUCUCCCGUCUUCUCUCUCUUUUUCCUUGCAAUCCUAUAAUUGUCACCGCCAUCCCCUUCUUCCCAUCUUCUUUAUCUGUUUCAAAUCAGUUCAAAACUUUGAUAAAGACCAAGACCUAAGUUUUCAAUCAUGUACAGAACCAUUUAAUCCUCUCCUCUUAAAACAACACUAUGUUCUUCCAUUUGUUACCGUUUACAGUUUGAGGAUGACUGUGAGCUGCUCGGUAUGGUGUCGGUGUUUGUGGUGCGGUUUCGCCGGCAAAGCUUUGGGUGGCGUCUGGUUGAGUCGUGUGUUCGUAGAUGGGUGGCGUUGAUGCAAGUGGGACGUCCGAUGAAGUUUCUAUGUAGUGAUGUUAUUUGAUGUGCGGCUGACGGUGAUUGGAUGUGGUGUUUCGACGAGAUGAUGUAAGGCACAAACGAUGGCUGCAGAUCUGAGUCUGUUUCCCCUUCUUCGGUUAGUUUCGUUUUUUUUACUUUGUGUCACAUGUUUUGGGUGUUUUUUGGUUUGUUCUCAUAUAUAUAUUUUCAUUUAUAUGAGUAAGUUGUUUUGAAUCUUCCACAAAUAAGCUGAGUCUUCCACGAAUCCAUUUCUUGCCGAAGUCCUCCAUCUCUCUCACCAGGUUCUUCCCUUUAAUCCCUCUUCCAUUUCUUUUUGAAAGAGUAUUAGUUGUAUUCUUCCAAUAUGCAUUAUUCUUCCUUUUAUGUUAAGUUGUUUCAUAGUUAUGAAAAUCACAGAUGUCGCUGAAGACGAUUGCAGUUGAAGAUGUAUGUUCACGAAACUGAGACGACAAACGGUAGCCAGAUUCUUGCAAUAUUCUGGAACUGUGAUGGUAUCAUUUUAAAGAAAAGGUCUUUGUUUUUCUUAUCUUGUGUGAUCAUUUUUUAAAAGAAAAAUAAUCAAUGUGAUUUCAUUGAUUUAUUGAAGAAGUUGGAGAGCCUGUUGCAGAGUACUUGCAUUCACAAGAAAUGAUUAUGGUAGAAAGUUUUUGAUUGAUAAAGAGGUGACUGGGGACAAUAUUAAGGCAUUCAGGGAAGAUUUCCUUAUAGACAAGCUAAAACCUUUCCUCAAGUCAGAUCUAAUUUCUGAAAGUGUGCUGUGAAAACAGUUGUUGGCAAUAACUUCGAUUUAAGUGCAUUCAUACAUGAAGGAUGUUAAGAUUGCAGACAUAAUCUCAAAAGCUGCAGUUUUGCAUUUUGUACCCUGCAUCCGUUCGAGUAGUUUUUCCGACAUUGGGCCGCGAAGAUACAUGGAGGAUGAACAUAUAAGGUUAGAUGAUUUGACUUCUCAUCUGGGAUCACUAUAUACAUUUCCUAAGCCAAGUUCCUUUUACGGGGUAAUUAUCUUUUCACCUUGGUCCGUUGUUUUAGUUAAUCUCAUUCUAAAACUAAUUGAGCUUUGGCAAAUGUCUGAAGUGUUUGAUGGUCAUGGAAGAAGCAGCUUAUAUAAGAAAAAAUGUUAUAAAAUUCUUCUUUGAGGAUGUCAAUUUCCCUCAAACAUCUGAAGUUGAUAACAUAUUUUUACAAGAGGUAGAGAAUUCCCUCAGAAAGGCUUUUCUUUUGGCGGACUCGGCUAUGGCUGAUGAUUGCAGUGGCAAUACUUCUUUAGGGACCACAACUCUUAUUGCUAUGAUAUUUGGAAGUUCUCAGUCGAAAAGGAGAGGCCAUUGAUGUCUUAAGAUCAUCGGCCUAUUUAUCCAUUAGAGUGUAGACAAGUUGAAGAAUUGGGCGGCUAUGUAGAAGAUGGCAACGAAUUCCUUAUCAUAGGAUGUUCCCUAUCACCUUUGAUUGUAGAGCCCGAGUUUCGUCAAAUGGUUCUAACAGAUGGCAACGAAUUCCUUAUCAUAGGAUGUGAUGUCAAGCCAGCAUGCCGUUAGCCUUGUACGUAAAGGUUUGAGGAGGCAUGAUGACCCAGAUAAUUAUUUGGCAGCAAAAAGUGAAGCUGAUCAUUACAAUGGAGAAUUGAAAAGGGAACCAAAAGAAAUCAUUGAUGUACAAGAGACUGGUAUGAACCUGUUGUGAAUGCUCUCACAAGGAAUCCUCAAACAUGGCUUGAUUUUAUGAUGAAGUAAGUGAAGAAUUUGAAGAUAAAUAUUUGUUUUUUACAAAUUUGAAAAUAGCUUUCUAAGAUUCAUAUAUAGCAUAUAAAUCUUAUAAUAAGCAUAUGUCUUGAAUGAGAGAAAAAGGUGACAAUUUCUAUCUUUUGUUUUGUAAAGUGGUGGUUAGAGUUAA